GUACUUGCCUUGGGAGCACAUAUACUAAAAAUUGGAAUGAUACAGAAAAGAGUAGCAUGACCCCUAUGCAAUGACGACACACAAAUUCGUAAGUGUUUCCUAUCUUA
ensembl:snRNA U6 U6 spliceosomal RNA